rnacentral:misc_RNA from 1 species
AAGUCGUAACAAGGUAACCGUAGGUGAACCUGCGGUUGGAUCAUUACUGAUUUUGCCAAGGUUAGUCGAGUCUCUUUGAGAUUCCUUUCCGCGGUAAUAUACCACUGUGCACUAUGCUGUAUUUUGGGUGAUUGGGGCUAGUACUCGACACCCAGCAUCAUAUGAACCAAUGAAAUUUUUUGUCUGAAAUCGAUUCUAAAUAGAAACAACUUUUGACAACGGAUCUCUUGGCUCUC